rnacentral:rRNA from 1 species
GAGUUUGAUCCUGGCUCAGGAUAAACGCUGGCGGCGUGCCUAAUACAUGCAAGUCGAUCGAUGGAAACCUAGCUUGCUAGGUGGAAGUAGAGGCGAACGGGUGAGUAACACAUAAGCAACCUGCCUACAAAGACUGGGAUAAUCUCUGGAAACGGGGACUAAGACCGGAUAGGUAAUAGGACCACAUGAUCUUAUUAUUAAAGGUGAGAAACACUAGUAGAUGGGCUUAUGGCGCAUUAGUUAGUUGGUAAGGUAACGGCCUACCAAGACGAUGAUGCGUAGCCGGGCUGAGAGGCUGAACGGCCACAUUGGGACUGAGACACGGCCCAGACUCCUACGGGAGGCAGCAGUAGGGAAUUUUCGGCAAUGGGGGAAACCCUGACCGAGCAACGCCGCGUGAGUGAUGAAAGUCUUCGGAUUGUAAAGCUCUGUUAUAAGGGAAGAACGUCCCGGAUAGUCUCCGGGAGUGACGGUACCUUAUCAGAAAGCUACGGCUAACUACGUGCCAGCAGCCGCGGUAAUACGUAGGUAGCGAGCGUUAUCCGGAAUUAUUGGGCGUAAAGGGUGCGUAGGCGGCUUGUUAAGUUUAAGGUGAAAGCGUGGGGCUCAACCCCAUAAAGCCUUAGAUACUGACGAGCUAGAGUACUGGAGAGGGUAGUGGAAUUCCAUGUGUAGCGGUAAAAUGCGUAGAUAUAUGGAGGAACACCGGUGGCGAAGGCGGCUACCUAGACAGAGACUGACGCUGAUGCACGAAAGCGUGGGGAGCAGAUAGGAUUAGAUACCCUAGUAGUCCACGCUGUAAACGAUGAAUACUAGGUAUCGGGGCAACUCGGUGCCGCAGUUAACACGAUAAGUAUUUCCGCCUGUGGAGUAUGCACGCAAGUGUGAAACUC